AACCCAGUGUGACUCGUCACACUAUCAUUAACUGAAUCCAUAGGUUAAUGAGGCGAACCGGGGGAACUGAAACAUCUAAGUACCCCGAGGAAAAGAAAUCAACCGAGAUUCCCCCAGUAGCGGCGAGCGAACGGGGAGGAGCCCAGAGCCUGAAUCAGCAUGUGUGUUAGUGGAAGCGUCUGGAAAGGCGCGCGAUACAGGGUGACAGCCCCGUACACAAAAGCGCAUGUGCUGUGAGCUCGAUGAGUAGGGCGGGACACGUGGUAUCCUGUCUGAAUAUGGGGGGACCAUCCUCCAAGGCUAAAUACUCCUGACUGACCGAUAGUGAACCAGUACCGUGAGGGAAAGGCGAAAAGAACCCCGGCGAGGGGAGUGAAACAGAACCUGAAACCGUGUACGUACAAGCAGUGGGAGCCCCACCACUAAGCCAGUGGUGAACUCCGCAUACGCAUCCUUUGCUGAGGAUACGGUUAACGGAGCGAGAGCGACGUUUAACCGCAAAAGAAGCAGAGGGGGCUUAGUGGUGGGGUGACUGCGUACCUUUUGUAUAAUGGGUCAGCGACUUAUAUUCUGUAGCAAGGUUAACCGAAUAGGGGAGCCGGAGGGAAACCGAGUCUUAAC
rnacentral:rRNA from 1 species